UAACGCGUGAGGAACCUGCCUCAAAGAGGGGGACAACAGUUGGAAACGACUGCUAAUACCGCAUAAGCCCACAGCUCGGCAUCGAGCAGAGGGAAAAAGAGUGAUCCGCUUUGAGAUGGCCUCGCGUCCGAUUAGCUAGUUGGUGAGGUAAUGGCCCACCAAGGCGACGAUCGGUAGCCGGACUGAGAGGUUGAACGGCCACAUUGGGACUGAGACACGGCCCAG
rnacentral:rRNA from 1 species